rnacentral:rRNA from 1 species
UACAGAGGGUGCAAGCGUUGUUCGGAAUUACUGGGCGUAAAGGGCGCGUAGGCGGCCUGCUAAGUCGAACGUGAAAUCCCUGGGCUCAACCCAGGAACUGCGUCCGAUACUGGUUGGCUUGAAUCCGGGAGAGGGACGUGGAAUUCCAGGUGUAGCGGUGAAAUGCGUAGAUAUCUGGAGGAACACCGGUGGCGAAGGCGACGUCCUGGACCGGCAUUGACGCUGAGGCGCGAAAGCGUGGGGAGCAAACAGG